rnacentral:rRNA from 1 species
UACGAAGGUGGCAAGCGUUGUUCGGAUUUACUGGGCGUACAGGGAGCGUAGGCGGUUGGAUAAGCCCUCCGUGAAAUCUCCAGGCUUAACCUGGAAAGUGCAGAGGGGACUGUUCAGCUAGAGGAUGGGAGAGGAGCGCGGAAUUCCCGGUGUAGCGGUGAAAUGCGUAGAGAUCUGGAGGAACACCGGUGGCGAAGGCGGCGUCCUGGACCAACACUGACACUGAUGAGCGAAAGCCAGGGGAGCAAACGGG